AGGAAUGCACUACCUCCACGCAGAAGCUCCGAUCAAAGUCAUCCACCGAGACCUCAAGUCACGGAACGUGGUCAUGACAGCAGACAAAGUGCUUAAGAUUUGUGACUUUGGUGCGUCAAAGUUCUUGUCCCAUACCACUCACAUGACUGUGGUGGGCACCUUUCCCUGGAUGGCUCCCGAGGUCAUUCAGAGCCUGCCUGUCUCUGAAACCUGCGACACAUACUCAUAUGGC